rnacentral:rRNA from 1 species
UACGUAGGGUGCGAGCGUUGUCCGGAAUUAUUGGGCGUAAAGAGCUCGUAGGCGGUUUGUCGCGUCUGCUGUGAAAACCUAAGGCUCAACCUUGGGCUUGCAGUGGGUACGGGCAGACUAGAGUGCGGUAGGGGUGACUGGAAUUCCUGGUGUAGCGGUGGAAUGCGCAGAUAUCAGGAGGAACACCGAUGGCGAAGGCAGGUCACUGGGCCGAUACUGACGCUGAGGAGCGAAAGCGUGGGGAGCGAACAGG